UACGUAGGGGGCAAGCGUUGUCCGGAUUCAUUGGGCGUAAAGAGCGUGUAGGCGGCCAGGUAGGUCGGUUGUGAAAACUGGAGGCUCAACCUCCAGACGUCGACCGAAACCAUCUGGCUAGAGUCCGGGAGAGGAGAGUGGAAUUCCUGGUGUAGCGGUGAAAUGCGCAGAUAUCAGGAAGAACACCCGUGGCGAAAGCGGCUCUCUGGAACGGUACUGACGCUGAGACGCGAAAGCGUGGGGAGCGAACAGG
rnacentral:rRNA from 1 species